UGGCCUUCCCCAUGAAACGACUCCUCCAGCCUCAGCGGAAACCAAGAACGAAUGGGGGAGUCCAUGGAAGGCGAACGCUGCCGUCAUUUAAUGCCCGACGACGACCGGAGCGGAGCUCCACCGGAACCGCCGGUGCCGCCGGUCGAAACCGCUCCAUUUGUUCUCUCCCCGUUCAUUUAGUACCAUGUACUCCGCCCACCUCGCCCUCGUCGUCGCAUAUAAAGAGACGAGAGGAUAGAAAAUGGGGCAAUGAAGAUCGAGAAAGAAGGAGAGGAAGGAUGGUCUAAGGGAAGCUGGAGGUGCUUCUUGUGGGGGCGAAGGGCCUCGAGAACACCGAUUUCUUCGACUAUGCCUGGAGCAGUUUCACAUAAGAAAAUCGUGCAUUUACCAUCGAAACGUUUGUGGAUGCAAUCAUGCAAUAUAUACUUGUUUUGAUUUUCUUUCUAUUGACCAUCGACCUUGCAACAUGUUAAAGGUCAAGAAUGUUAAUGCCCGAAUGUUGUGUUGUAUGUGAUUUGAACGUACAUUUAUGAAGUCAACAUGGAUUCGCUUGUUAUA